UGGGGCGAAGCUGAGAACUUAAGCGCCAGUAAACGGACGGUGGUAACUAUAACCAUCCUAAGGUAGCGAAAUUCCUUGUCGGGUAAGUUCCGACCUGCACGAAUGGCGUAACGACUUCUCGACUGUCUCAACCAUAGGCCCGGUGAAAUUGCACUACGAGUAAAGAUGCUCGUUUCGCGCAGCAGGACGGAAAGACCCCGGGACCUUUACUACAGUUUGAUAUUGGUGUUCGGUUCGGCUUGUGUAGGAUAGCUGGGAGACUGUGAAGCGCUAACGCCAGUUAGUGUGGAGUCGUCGUUGAAAUACCAGUCUGGUCGUGCUGGAUGUCUAACCUGGGUCCGUGAUCC
rnacentral:ncRNA from 1 species